CCCUCCCGCGGCAGUAAUGCCGCGGCCUCAUUGAAGC
rnacentral:other from 2 species